rnacentral:rRNA from 1 species
CCGGAGAAUGUUAUCACGGGAGACACACGGCGGGUGCUAACGUCCGUCGUGAAGAGGGAAACAACCCAGACCGCCAGCUAAGGUCCCAAAGUCAUGGUUAAGUGGGAAACGAUGUGGGAAGGCCCAGACAGCCAGGAUGUUGGCUUAGAAGCAGCCAUCAUUUAAAGAAAGCGUAAUAGCUCACUGGUCGAGUCGGCCUGCGCGGAAGAUGUAACGGGGCUAAACCAUGCACCGAAGCUGCGGCAGCGACGCUUAUGCGUUGUUGGGUAGGGGAGCGUUCUGUAAGCCUGCGAAGGUGUGCUGUGAGGCAUGCUGGAGGUAUCAGAAGUGCGAAUGCUGACAUAAGUAACGAUAAAGCGGGUGAAAAGCCCGCUCGCCGGAAGACCAAGGGUUCCUGUCCAACGUUAAUCGGGGCAGGGUGAGUCGACCCCUAAGGCGAGGCCGAAAGGCGUAGUCGAUGGGAAACAGGUUAAUAUUCCUGUACUUGGUGUUACUGCGAAGGGGGGACGGAGAAGGCUAUGUUGGCCGGGCGACGGUUGUCCCGGUUUAAGCGUGUAGGCUGGUUUUCCAGGCAAAUCCGGAAAAUCAAGGCUGAGGCGUGAUGACGAGGCACUACGGUGCUGAAGCAACAAAUGCCCUGCUUCCAGGAAAAGCCUCUAAGCAUCAGGUAACAUCAAAUCGUACCCCAAACCGACACAGGUGGUCAGGUAGAGAAUACCAAGGCGCUUGAGAGAACUCGGGUGAAGGAACUAGGCAAAAUGGUGCCGUAACUUCGGGAGAAGGCACGCUGAUAUGUAGGUGAAGUCCCUUGCGGAUGGAGCUGAAAUCAGUCGAAGAUACCAGCUGGCUGCAACUGUUUAUUAAAAACACAGCACUGUGCAAACACGAAAGUGGACGUAUACGGUGUGACGCCUGCCCGGUGCCGGAAGGUUAAUUGAUGGGGUCAGCGCAAGCGAAGCUCUUGAUCGAAGCCCCGGUAAACGGCGGCCGUAACUAUAACGGUCCUAAGGUAGCGAAAUUCCUUGUCGGGUAAGUUCCGACCUGCACGAAUGGCGUAAUGAUGGCCAGGCUGUCUCCACCCGAGACUCAGUGAAAUUGAACUCGCUGUGAAGAUGCAGUGUACCCGCGGCAAGACGGAAAGACCCCGUGAACCUUUACUAUAGCUUGACACUGAACAUUGAGCCUUGAUGUGUAGGAUAGGUGGGAGGCUUUGAAGUGUGGACGCCAGUCUGCAUGGAGCCGGCCUUGAAAUACCACCCUUUAAUGUUUGAUGUUCUAACGUGGACCCGUGAUCCGGGUUGCGGACAGUGUCUGGUGGGUAGUUUGACUGGGGCGGUCUCCUCCUAAAGAGUAACGGAGGAGCACGAAGGUUGGCUAAUCCUGGUCGGACAUCAGGAGGUUAGUGCAAUGGCAUAAGCCAGCUUGACUGCGAGCGUGACGGCGCGAGCAGGUGCGAAAGCAGGUCAUAGUGAUCCGGUGGUUCUGAAUGGAAGGGCCAUCGCUCAACGGAUAAAAGGUACUCCGGGGAUAACAGGCUGAUACCGCCCAAGAGUUCAUAUCGACGGCGGUGUUUGGCACCUCGAUGUCGGCUCAUCACAUCCUGGGGCUGAAGUAGGUCCCAAGGGUAUGGCUGUUCGCCAUUUAAAGUGGUACGCGAGCUGGGUUUAGAACGUCGUGAGACAGUUCGGUCCCUAUCU